ACAAAUAAGCUCGGAGACAUCUGCACGUGCAACUGGAAGAGUUCUCUUUUCUUCUUAACAGUCUAUCUCCCUGAAUGGAUUGUCCAGAGCUAGGGAUAUAUGGCUGGCAGAGCAGUUCACCCUCGAACUGUCAGUGAUGCUCGUGACGAUCCUUGAAAAUCCGAGUAAGAUUAUCCAAUCACACCAGGUCGUACCCAUAACCGCAUCAGGUCUCCAAGGUUAGCAGCCUCUGGUCGAUAAGAUAAUGUAAAUAAGGGAAUUCGGCAAAUUAGAUCCGUAACUUCGGGAAAAGGAUUGGCUCUGAGGAUUGAGUGCCAUGCCAAUUUUACAGAACCUGGAUCUAAUCGAGUAUUUCCGCAAGGAGGCACUCUUUCGGAGAAAGGAGAAGUUUCUGCGGCUAACACAAUUAACAAUCGACUCAGAACUGAAGCGGACAAGGGGAAUCCGACUGUUUAAUAAAAACAUAGCUUUGUGAUGGCCUGAAAAGGUGUUGACACAAAGUGAUUUCUGCCCAGUGCUUUGAAUGUGAAUAUGAAGUAAUUUGUAGAAGCUCAGGUAAACGGCGGGAGUAACUAUGACUCUCUUAAGGUAGCCAAAUGCCUCGUCAUCUAAUUAGC
rnacentral:rRNA from 1 species